GGAUUGAUAGCUUAAUUGGUAAAGUAUCAAUUUUGAAAAUUGACUAUUGUGAGUUCAAUUCUCACUCAAUCUA
rnacentral:tRNA from 1 species